rnacentral:snoRNA from 1 species
GCACGGCCGAAUUCCGCACGAGCUUUCCUCAGUAGCUGAUGUGGUCAGACACUGUGCCAGAACAAAUUCCUCGCUUGCACUCCGAUUGGUAUGCAUUUUACCUGAGAACGGGCAUGCCCUGGGAAGCGGGGUACACGG